GAAGAUUGUUUUGGCCGUUACGUGAGUUGUGCUUCGGCUUCGUGCGCGGAUUAAUCUGAUUUUUUGAAUCGCGCGUGCGGUGCCGCUGUCAUUACAGUGACGGUAUCGCUUUUUUCAGCGCGAAUUUCAAUAACGACAUAUAUUGAAGAAAUAUGUCUGAUGAGAAGCAGGAAAUGCAUGAAUAAAGCAACAGCCAGGAAAAACAUGGAGAUGCCGCAGCCGAUAGAAGUGAUAAAAGUCAAUGUUUCCAGAUCCGGCACUGUGCUGUUUACAUCUGGCGGAGACUGAAGGAUCAAAGAAAACAGGACGAAACAGGCCCUACAUUCAUCACAUCCUGUUCUGAAGAGCAGCAAAAGUCUUCAGUGUCUGUGUUCUCGGCUUGUCUUUGGAUAACACCAGUAACAUCCCCCGUGACAAUCGAAGCACUGUGUUUACUGUC